UGGGGAAUAUUGGACAAUGGGCGCAAGCCUGAUCCAGCCAUGCCGCGUGAGUGAUGAAGGCCCUAGGGUUGUAAAGCUCUUUCACCGGUGAAGAUAAUGACGGUAACCGGAGAAGAAGCCCCGGCCAACUUCGUGCCAGCAGCCGCGGUAAUACGAAGGGGGCUAGCGUUGUUCGGAUUUACUGGGCGUAAAGCGCACGUAGGCGGACUAUUAAGCCAGGGGUGAAAUCCCGGGGCUCAACCCCGGAACUGCCUUUGAUACUGGUAGUCUUGAGUUCGAGAGAGGUGAGUGGAAUUCCGAGUGUAGAGGUGAAAUUCGUAGAUAUUCGGAGGAACACCAGUGGCGAAGGCGGCUCACUGGCUCGAUACUGACGCUGAGGUGCGAAAGCGUGGGGAGCAAACAGG
rnacentral:rRNA from 1 species